GGGGGUAUAGCUCAGUGGUAGAGCGUGUGCUUAGCAUGCACAAGGUCCUGGGUUCAAUCCCCAGUACCUCCA
rnacentral:tRNA from 1 species